rnacentral:rRNA from 1 species
CCUACGGGUGGCAGCAGUGGGGAAUAUUGGUCAAUGGGCGCAAGCCUGACCCAGCAACGCCGCGUGAGGGAAGAAGGCUUUCCGGUUUUAAACUUCUUUUUUUGAGGACGAAACAAAUGACGGUACUCAAUGAAUAAGCCACGGCUAACUACGUGCCAGCAGCCGCGGUAAUACGUAGGUGGCAAGCGUUAUCCGGAUUUACUGGGUGUAAAGGGCGUGUAGGCGGGACUGCAAGGCAGAUGUGAAACCCAUGGUGUCAACCCAUGGCCUGCAUUUGAAACUGGAGUUCGUGAGUGAGGGAGAGGCAGGCGGAAUGCGGGGUGUAGCGGUGAAAUGCGUGGAUAUACGGAGGAACAC